UACAGAGGGUGCUAGCGUUGUUCGGAAUCAUUGGGCGUAAAGGGCGUGUAGGCGGUUUGUUAAGUAGGGGGUGAAAUCCUGCGGCUUAACCGCAGGGCUGCCUUCUAAACUGUCAGGCUUGAGCACAGUAGAGGCAGGUGGAAUUCCCGGUGUAGCGGUGGAAUGCGUAGAGAUCGGGAAGAACAUCAGUGGCGAAGGCGGCCUGCUGGGCUGUUGCUGACGCUGAGGCGCGACAGCGUGGGGAGCAAACAGG
rnacentral:rRNA from 1 species